GAGUUUGAUCGUGGCUCAGAUUGAACGCUGGCGGCAGGCCUAACACAUGCAAGUCGGAGCGGAUGACGGGAGCUUGCUCCUUGAUUCAGCGGCGGACGGGUGAGUAAUGCCUGGGAAUCUGCCUGGUAGUGGGGGACAACGUUUCGAAAGGAACGCUAAUACCGCAUACGUCCUACGGGAGAAAGCAGGGGACCUUCGGGCCUUGCGCUAUCAGAUGAGCCUAGGUCGGAUUAGCUAGUUGGUGGGGUAAUGGCUCACCAAGGCGACGAUCCGUAACUGGUCUGAGAGGAUGAUCAGUCACACUGGAACUGAGACACGGUCCAGACUCCUACGGGAGGCAGCAGUGGGGAAUAUUGGACAAUGGGCGAAAGCCUGAGUCCAGCCCAUGCCGCGUGUGUGAAGAAGGUCUUCGGAUUGUAAAGCACUUUAAG
rnacentral:rRNA from 1 species